rnacentral:rRNA from 1 species
GACGAACGCUGGCGGCGUGCCUAAUACAUGCAAGUCGAACGAAGCUGUUUUAACUGGUGCUUGCACCGACUUAAACAACUGAGUGGCGAACGGGUGAGUAACACGUGGGUAACCUGCCCCAAAGCGGGGGAUAACAUUUGGAAACAGAUGCUAAUACCGCAUAACCACAGAAACCACAUGGUUUCUGUGUCAAAGAUGGUUUCGGCUAUCACUUUGGGAUGGACCCGCGGCGUAGUAGCUAGUUGGUAAGGUAAUGGCUUACCAAGGCAAUGAUACGGAGCCGAACUGAGAGGUUGAUCGGCCACAUUGGAACUGAGACACGGCCCAAACUCCUACAGGAGGCAGCAGUAGGGAAUCUUCCACAAUGGACGAAAGUCUGAUGGAGCAACGCCGCGUGAGUGAAGAAGGUUUUCGGAUCGUAAAACUCUGUUGUCAGAGAAGAACGUGUGCGAGAGUAACUGCUCGUGCAGUGACGGUAUCUGGCCAGAAAGCCACGGCUAACUACGUGCCAGCCGCCGCCGUAA